rnacentral:lncRNA from 1 species
AAAAUGAUAAUCUCGGGCUUCGGCGUAACUUGGUGGAAGGGGUUUCUCCUGUCCUUUCAUUAAGGAUGGAUUUCAUGAUCUUCCUUAAAUAACAACGUGCCUUCUUACGAGGAAUCCCCGGUCUGAAAACCGAUUGCAUCGCCAUUAGGAAGCAGGAGACCAAUAAGGCAGAGAAAAGCAGCAGGACCGUGGGUUGUGGCAGGUCCGUACAGAGCAAAAGGCAUCUGCCUCUGUAGGCUGCGAGGAAGGAGAGAAGGGCAUUAGCACUGUGCCGUGCUGCUGACCACCACACCAGCUAUGAACCCAACAACUGAGCAAAGCUCCGCCACGUCCUACACCUCCUCGGCACGAUGGGAAACACCACAUCUUAUUUCAGUCAGGCUUGGCACAGCAUCCUCCCCUCCAUGCCCAGAUUCCCUGAGUCCGGCUAUAGCCCGGGAGAAGAACAGAAAGGAACAAAGCCAGCUCAUCAGCCAUUCCCAUGUCAAUCACCACCACCAUGACCAGGAGGAAGAGAAAGGAAGAGCUGGCUGCUCGGUGGGUGUGGAUGAUUUCAGGAAAUAAUUAUCCCAGAUGCCAGAAUAGGAGAAAAUUAAAAGUGUAAACUGUAAUCAGAUGUUAAGUUGCUUUUCUUCCGCUAAUUGAAAUAAUGUUUUCUCUGCUACCCACCACUCUACCCCUUUCAGAUGCUAAUCCCUAUCAAACACGGCCUUACAAUUACAAAUUCAUAGGCAUCUUUCCCAGGAGCAGAAAUUGCUUUGCCCUGUAACCUCUAAGAUGAGGUCUUAAUAGGAAUUCACGAGCAGUCUCUGGUAAAGCUUCAUUAGCCGGAGAGAAUAGGCAAGGGCAAGUUGCAGUGCUCCCUAACCACUCUAGGGAAAAAUUAAUUUAAAUUACUUUGUAAAGUAACAAGGACAGAUAAUGUGUUUCCUUCUUGGAUUAUUGUUUUCCGACACCCUAAUGCGCUCAUAGAUUAGGUUACUUUGCCUACUACUUGAUGGUGGUCCAUACUAAGUUGUGGUGUGUGGAGGGCAGCAUCCUUCAGAAGGAGAAACACCAACAGUGCCUUUGGGGAAGACUGAGCGGAGAAGAGGUGGAGAUCUGGAUGGUGAUCACCGUGGGAUGGGAUGGCUGGGGACGCUGGGGCAGGUGGCAAGAGACCUGGCCAUUGCAGAUGGACACGGCUCUCUCUGUUCAUGGCAGGGGAAUUGGGCCAGGUGACCUUUGAGGGUUCCUCCCAACUCAAACGAUUCCUAAAGAGGACAGCAGAGCAUUUCCCUGAUGGAAGGAAUCCUCCUGGGCUUGGACAGCUCUGGAUUUGCUGCCAGCAGGCUGGAACCUGAGCAGUGUUACCAAAGGGCUCAGCAUCACAGCAAACCUCUGCCAGCAGCCACCAUCCCUCUGUUUGACUCCUGACCAACUGAAACCAAAAAGGCACUAAAAUGUG